rnacentral:rRNA from 1 species
UACGUAGGGGGCAAGCGUUGUCCGGAAUCAUUGGGCGUAAAGAGCGCGUAGGCGGCCCGGUAAGUCCGCUGUGAAAGUCAAGGGCUCAACCCGUGAAUGCCGGUGGAUACUGUCGGGCUAGAGUCCGGAAGAGGCGAGUGGAAUUCCUGGUGUAGCGGUGAAAUGCGCAGAUAUCAGGAGGAACACCGGUGGCGAAGGCGGGUCUCUGGGCAACAACUGACGCUGAGGAGCGAAAGCGUGGGGAGCGAACAGG